rnacentral:rRNA from 1 species
GACGAACGCUGGCGGCGUGCCUAAUACAUGCAAGUUGAGCGAUGAAGAUUGGUGCUUGCACCAAUUUGAAGAGCAGCGAACGGGUGAGUAACGCGUGGGGAAUCUGCCUUUGAGCGGGGGACAACAUUUGGAAACGAAUGCUAAUACCGCAUAACAACUUUAAACAUAAGUUUUAAGUUUGAAAGAUGCAAUUGCAUCACUCAAAGAUGAUCCCGCGUUGUAUUAGCUAGUUGGUGAGGUAAAGGCUCACCAAGGCGAUGAUACAUAGCCGACCUGAGAGGGUGAUCGGCCACAUUGGGACUGAGACACGGCCCAAACUCCUACGGGAGGCAGCAGUAGGGAAUCUUCGGCAAUGGACGAAAGUCUGACCGAGCAACGCCGCGUGAGUGAAGAAGGUUUUCGGAUCGUAAAACUCUGUUGGUAGAGAAGAACGUUGGUGAGAGUGGAAAGCUCAUCAAGUGACGGUAACUACCCAGAAAGGGACGGUUAACUACGUG